rnacentral:rRNA from 1 species
AGGGAAUCUUCCGCAAUGGACGAAAGUCUGACGGAGCAACGCCGCGUGAGUGAUGAAGGUUUUCGGAUCGUAAAACUCUGUUGUUAGGGAAGAACAAGUACCGUUCGAAUAGGGCGGCACCUUGACGGUACCUAACCAGAAAGCCACGGCUAACUACGUGCCAGCAGCCGCGGUAAUACGUAGGUGGCAAGCGUUGUCCGGAAUUAUUGGGCGUAAAGCGCGCGCAGGCGGUCUUUUAAGUAUGAUGUGAAAGCCCACGGCUCAACCGUGGAGGGUCAUUGGAAACUGGAAGACUUGAGUGCAGAAGAGGAGAGUGGAAUUCCACGUGUAGCGGUGAAAUGCGUAGAGAUGUGGAGGAACACCAGUGGCGAAGGCGACUCUCUGGUCUGUAACUGACGCUGAGGCGCGAAAGCGUGGGGAGCAAAC